rnacentral:lncRNA from 1 species
GGGUUUCUUGGUCCUCUCCUCUCCCAGGCAAGAACAUGCCGGUCCAGAUCUACUCCUAUCAGGUAAACGUUUUCCUCUCUGUCAAGAGCACUUUUUGCCAACCUAUGUGCAUGCGAGUUCUCUGAUCUAUUAAUAUAUUGAAAUUUUAGUUACUGGAAACAUGGUUUCUUAUUAUGGAUAUCUCUGAUAAUAGCCCCAAUCACUAAUUUAUCUAGUGAAGCUUUCAACAUUUUUUAAUAACUGUUCUGGAGUCCCCCAUGAUUUUGAUUGAUAACAUUCUUAGUGAGAUUCCUAACUUUAUACUUUCCAAACAUGUGUACGCCUCUGCUACGAACGAGGAAGAAACAUUGUUGUGAACCACCGUCUUAAGCACCAACAAAUCCCCUUUUUGGUCCCAUCCUACCAGUCCUGUUGCUGACUUGGAGCUUCUUCUGUCAAACGCUGCGUCGAACUGAAUCGUUGCUUUUGG